rnacentral:rRNA from 1 species
AGCGAACGCUGGCGGCAGGCCUAACACAUGCAAGUCGAACGAAGUCUUCAGACUUAGUGGCGGACGGGUGAGUAACACGUGGGAACGUGCCUUUAGGUUCGGAACAACUCAGGGAAACUUGUGCUAAUACCGAAUGUGCCCUUCGGGGGAAAGAUUUAUCGCCUUUAGAGCGGCCCGCGUCUGAUUAGCUAGUUGGUGAGGUAAAGGCUCACCAAGGCUACGAUCAGUAGCUGGUCUGAGAGGAUGACCAGCCACAUUGGGACUGAGACACGGCCCAAACUCCUACGGGAGGCAGCAGUGGGGAAUCUUGCGCAAUGGGCGAAAGCUUGACGCAGCCAUGCCGCGUGGAUGAUGAAGGUCUUAGGAUUGUAAAAUCCUUUCACCGGUGAAGAUAAUGACUGUAGCCGGAGAAGAAGCCCCGGCUAACUUCGUGCCAGCCGCCGCGGUAACAC